AACGAACGCUGGCGGCAUGCCUAACACAUGCAAGUCGAACGAGAUCUUCGGGUCUAGUGGCGCACGGGUGCGUAACGCGUGGGAAUCUGCCCUUUGGUUCGGAAUAACAGUUGGAAACGACUGCUAAUACCGGAUGAUGACGAAAGUCCAAAGAUUUAUCGCCAGAGGAUGAGCCCGCGUAGGAUUAGCUAGUUGGUGUGGUAAAGGCGCACCAAGGCGACGAUCCUUAGCUGGUCUGAGAGGAUGAUCAGCCACACUGGGACUGAGACACGGCCCAGACUCCUACGGGAGGCAGCAGUGGGGAAGAUUGGACAAUGGGCGAAAGCCUGAUCCAGCAAUGCCGCGUGAGUGAUGAAGGCCUUAGGGUUGUAAAGCUCUUUUACCCGGGAUGAUAAUGACGGUACCGGGAGAAUCAGCCCCGGCUAACUCCGUGCCAGCAGCCGCCGUAA
rnacentral:rRNA from 1 species